UAUUCCCUCCGUCCGGAUUUAUUGGGCCUCUUAGCCAAAUUGGCAGGACCAAGGAGCCUUGUAUGGAGAGAACCAAUUCCAAUAAUUACGUGCGAUUAAUUAUUACCAGCGUUUUGGAAAGCACAAAAGCUAAUGCGGCUUCGCAGGGAAGGCAUGCACACGCAUUAAUCCCAGCCGCAUGGGCCCAUGCAUGCCCAAUCAAAAAGAAAGAAGUAUAGUUUUCACCCCCAAAUCCCUCUCAAUGUAUCCAUAACCCCCCAAAGUCAAUUUUGGUGUGAUUUUAACCCUGAAAAUGUCAAAACCGUUUUAAUCAAACCUUGAAUGGUUUAGUGUCACAUCAGAAGCGGUUUUGCGAUUUGGUUUUCGUUUAGUUGCUGCUUACUUGGCGCUGGCGUGUCAAAUGGUCACUCUUGCUCUCGCUCGAACUAGCAGCUACGGAUAAAAAUUCCCCAAUUUCUCAGCCAUCUCGUUCGAACCCUAAAUCCCAAUCGCGCUCGCUCUCCGCCGGCCGCAGGUCUGAUUCACUGGCGUACUCUUGAAUCGGCUCCACUCCAUGACCUCAUCCGCAAGAUUUCUCAGCGAGCUCCUCCGCCGGCCGCACAUCCUAUUCUACUGGUCCGGCGGCGGCGGCGGCGCAAUCGCAGGUGCCAUAUCGGCAGGGUCCGCUGUAUUAGGAGCCCGAAAACUUGCGUGGCUGUAGAGUGGAAGCACCCCGAUGGAUUUCCUGGAGCGUGAAGAACCCAUGGCGCAGGUGUGGACUGCAGGUUCUUUGAGUGGCAUUUCUGAAUUCGCUGCUCGGUGACUUGCGUGAUAUUGAGUAUCGUCUGAAAAUAGAGAAGAAACAGUUGGAGGAAUCUCGAAUCCAAGUUGAAGCUCGCAUGGACAAGGCUGUAGAUGUCGAGAUGGGCAUGAGGUCGUUUGUGCAUGAGAUGCAGUUCAAGCACACAAUAGAAGUAGAAGAAAUGCAUAGGAAAUUGAAAAGAUUUAGAAAGACGUGGGAGUAUCUUGUAAUCUGUUUGGUGGUUGCUUUCUUCUUUUUUGUUAUGAAAUGAAUUGGUACUGUAAUGUGGCAUGAUCUUGUGAAAAAUCUAGAGAGAUGUGGCAGUAUGUUGAGAA